rnacentral:rRNA from 1 species
UGGACAUGGGGGGACCCUGAUCCAGCCAUGCCGCGUGUGUGAAGAAAGGGCCUUUUGGUUGUAAAGCACUUUAAGCGAGGAGGAGGAGCUCUUGGUUAAUACCCAAGAUGCUUGGACGUUACUCGCAGAAUAAGCACCGGCUAACUCUGUGCCAGCAGCCGCGGUAAUACAGAGGGUGCAAGCGUUAAUCGGAUUUACUGGGCGUAAAGCGCGCGUAGGUGGCCAAUUAAGUCAAAUGUGAAAUCCCCGAGCUUAACUUGGGAAUUGCAUUCGAUACUGGUUGGCUAGAGUAUGGGAGAGGAUGGUAGAAUUCCAGGUGUAGCGG